UACGUAGGGGGCAAGCGUUGUCCGGAUUUAUUGGGCGUAAAGAGCGUGUAGGCGGCUUUACAGGUCCGUUGUGAAAACUCGAGGCUCAACCUCGAGACGCCGGUGGAAACCGUAAAGCUAGAGUCCGGAAGAGGAGAGUGGAAUUCCUGGUGUAGCGGUGAAAUGCGUAGAUAUCAGGAGGAACACCGGUGGCGAAGGCGGGUCUCUGGGCCGAUACUGACGCUGAGGAGCGAAAGCGUGGGGAGCAAACAGG
rnacentral:rRNA from 1 species